CAAUAAUUUAGCACCAUAAAAAGUGGGAUCACGUGCUCGACAGUUACACCAGAAUAAUCUAUAAAAAGGAGAUAAGUGAGCAGUACGGGUAAGCGAGCUCGGAGUCAGAACUUUGGUACUUUCUAUAUUCAAAAAUUACUGUUCACCAACUUUCUUCUUUGACUUAAGUAUCGAAGGAUCUCUAUCGAAUAUCAAUUCGAUCCAUGUGGAUACUGUCUUAUAAAUUUUUAUUUUUGAUGAU
rnacentral:lncRNA from 1 species